CUUUUCGAGGUGGGAGUCUACUGAGGUGAGGUAUGGUGCUGGGUGCAGAUGCAAUGUGGCUCUGGAUAGCACCUUAUGGACAGUUGUGUCCCAAAGGAAGGAUGAGAAUAGCUACUGAAGUAAGUUGAAAAUCUUUAAAUCUCAAAAAGAUUUAAAGCCAUUGGAUGUGCCACAAUGAUGACAGUUUAUUUGCUACUCUUGAGUGCUAGAAUGAUGAGGAUCUUAACCACCAUUAUCUUAACUGAGGCACCCAAAAUGGUGAUUUGGGGAACAGAGAGAGUACACCUAAGUUCACACGAAGUUGUUUCUUCCCAGGUCCUAAAGAGCAAGCCUAACUCAAGCCAUUGGCACACCGGCAUUAGACAGAAAACUGGAAGUUGAAAUGGUAAGUGAAACUAUGUCCAAGUAAACAGCUAACUGGGCAAACUGCCUACAGCACAAAUGGCUUUUUAGGGUUACCUCCUACUAGUGCUGAAUGCAUUAAAUAAAUGGUGGAUUCUUGUCUUGUUAUGAUUAAUAAGAAAGUUUGUAAAUGCAGCCUGGAUGAUGAUAAGCAAAUACUGACUGAACAUGAAGGUCUUAAUUAGCUCUAACUGACUAAAGGCAUUUGUUAGUUUUGGCAGGGGGAGAACACUCACCUGUGGCUAUUCUAAGACCACUCUUAUUUCUUAGGUGGAGUCCAACUUGUCUGGACCAGCUUAAUGGUUCUGCUCCUGGUAACGUUUUUAUCCACGGAUGGCUUGCUUGGGUAAGGACGUGAAGACAGUUCCUGUCAUACCUUUUUUAAAGGUACAUAUUUUGUUGAUGUUAAUGUGAAUUGAUUGAGCUACUGUUAGUGAUGAUUUUAAAAUUAAAACAGAUGGGAAUCUCUCUGAGAAAGAAAAUGGAGAUUAAUCUUAAACUGAAA
rnacentral:sRNA from 1 species